UACGUAGGGGGCAAGCGUUGUCCGGAAUCAUUGGGCGUAAAGAGCGUGUAGGCGGUUCGGUAAGUCGGCUGUGAAAACUCAGGGCUUAACCCUGAGCUUGCAAUGGGUACGGGCAGACUAGAGUGCGGUAGGGGAGACUGGAAUUCCUGGUGUAGCGGUGAAAUGCGCAGAUAUCAGGAGGAACACCGGUGGCGAAGGCGGGUCUCUGGGCCGAUACUGACGCUGAGGCGACGAAAGCGUGGGGAGCGAACAGG
rnacentral:rRNA from 1 species